rnacentral:piRNA from 1 species
GCUGGUCCGAUGGUAGUGAGUUAU